rfam:Oryza sativa Japonica Group DNA, chromosome 4, cultivar: Nipponbare, complete sequence.
AAAGACUCAAUUUUUAGGUUUCCGUGUCCAAUGUUUGACCGUCCGUCUUAUAUGAAAUUUUUUUAUGAUUAGUAUUUUCAUUAUUGUUAUAUGAUAAAACAUGAAUAAUACUUUAUGUAUGACUUUUUUUUUAAAUUUUUUUUAUAAUUUUUGAAAAUAAGACGGAUGGUCAAACGUUAGACACGGAAACCCAUG